GUCUAAAUUUCUGGAAGAUGGAGCCAUGCUUGUUUUUCCAAAAGCUCUUUGAGUGAUUCUAAUUUGUAGUCAGAGUUGAAGACCACCGCUCUAAAUUGGUUCAGGAAAAUCCUUUUAUUUCUCCCAUGUUAACUUUUAAAACUAGUAAUGUACCCAGUUAAGUUUGGAUGGUUUAAAUUUCACUAAAGAACCUAUUCUAAUAACUAGCAUUUAUUACAUGAAAUUUAAGAGCUUAAGUUCCAUCAAACUAGCCCUUGUGUAAGAUUAUUAUUUCUUCUCUAUAACUUCAAAAUAGAUAUUUCAUUCAAACUGUUCAGGUGAGAAAAGAUAAUGGAUUUUUUUUUUCCUCUGGAGCUGCCUGUUCAGUGAGAUGGAGGAGGUGCACACUUAAGGUCAAUUCACUAAUCUAUGGUUCAGAUUUCUGAUCACAUGGAAGUUUGGAAAAGAAAGCUUAUCACAGGUUUGUAUGCUGGUGAAUGGAUA
rnacentral:lncRNA from 10 species